UAAUAAGUUACAAAGGGCUUAUGGUGGAUGCCUUGGGACUGAUUGACGAAGAAGGUCGUGCCAAUCUGCGAUAAGGUACGGGGAGCCGAUAAGGGGCUACAAUCCGUACAUGACCGAAUGAGGCAACUCAUCUAAUAGAGAUAUUAGAUAUCAUUAACUGAAUUCAUAGGUUAAUGAAGUGAUACCCGCUGAAGUGAAACAUCUCAGUAGGCGGAGGAAAAGAAAACAACGUGAUUCCGUUAGUAGUGGCGAGC
rnacentral:rRNA from 1 species